AGAAGAAAAACACAAUGGCAGAGACACACACGAGCGCUUCGCGACAACCAGAAGAGGAAGAACACCCCCGGCCUCACUUAAAAUCGAUGUUCACGUUUCAGACAACCAAAAAAAACAGUAAUGUAAUGCGCCUCUUAUGUGUCUCCCCAAACAAGUGGACAUUUCAGCUUACAUAAACUCAACGUCAAAUUUGAGGAAGCACAUUGCGGCCUUGACUACAUCAAAAAUCACCUGGACACUGACUUGGAGAUGGAUGAUGCUCCCACAAACAGUAGUCACUCUGAUGAAGACGACUUCUUUGCAUCGCUGAGUGCAGGACAAUCAAAAACAGGAGAGCUGGAGAGGUACCUUUCAUGUCCAUCCACUGGAGGUAUGGAUCUCUUGCAUUCCUUUCCUCAAAUCAAGAGCCUGUCAAUGAAAAUCAACACAGGCCUCCCAGCAUCUGCAGCCUGUGAGAGACUUUUUAGUCAUGCAGGACUCCUGUUCACGGCUAAAAGGUCACAGCGUGCAGAGUGAUCCAGAGUGAAUAUGCAAAAUUUCACAUACACACACUCACACAUGCUCACACAUGCACACACACUCACACAUGCACACACACUCACACAUGCUCACAUGCACACACACUCACACGCACGCAUGCAUACAAACACCAAUCAGAAGUGCACAGUGUGUUCCCAGGUGCGGCCCACACCUAUCAGAGUUUAUAGUUUGCGUAAAGGCUAACUUGUUCUUUUCCUUUGUAAUCUCUGCCUACUGAGCCUAUUGUGCUGUUAGUAAGUUAGUAAGUUAUUGUGGCUCAAUUUGCCUUCAUAUAUUUUAAUGUAUUAUUAUUUAAUGUAUUAUUGUUUUAGUUGCUUAAGAGAUAUUGUUGGCUAUCAAUAUGUUCAUUGCUAUUUUUAUGUUUUUGUGCAUUAUUUGUUGCCGUCAUCAUUAAACAAACAGGUUACUUAUCA